GCACGUCUGGCCGAGUGGUGUGAGGUACCUGCCUGCAAAGCAGGGAAGAUCGGUUCGAUUCCGAUGGCGUGCUCCA
rnacentral:tRNA from 1 species